AAAGAUUAAGCCAUGCACGUCUCAGUAUAAGCAAUUUAAACUGUGAAACUGCGGAUGGCUCAUUAACUCAGUUUUAAUUUACUUGAUAAUGAUUUACUACUUGGAUACCUGUUGUAAUUCAAGAGUUAAUACAUGCGUAAAGGCCUGACUCGAGAGGGAAGGGCUGUGUUUAUUAGAUCGAAAACCAGCGGGGUGGGGCGGUCAGCAAUGGCUUGUUUCACCCAUUUAUGCUUGGUGAGUCAUGAUAAAUGUCGAAUCGGGCAUCAGCCCGAUGUGUCAUUCAAAAUUCUGCCCUAUCAACUGUUGAUGGUAGGAUAGGGGCCUACCAUGGUUUUGACGGGUAACGGAGAAUUAGGGUUCGAUUCCGGAGAGGGAGCCUGAGAGAUGGCUACCACUUCCAAGGAAGGCAGCAGGCGCGCAAAUUACCCAAUCCCAAUCAACUUGGGGAGGUAGUGACAAAAAAUAGUAAUGCAGGGUGGUUAUCCACUACUGCAAUUGCAAUGGCUCGGACGUAAAUACUCCGGGGAGCAGCCAUUAGAGGGCAAGUCUGGUGCCAGCAGCCGCGGUAAUUCCAGCUCUAAAAGUGUAUAUUAAAAUUGCUGCAGUUAAAAAGCUCGUAGUUGGAUUUUGGAGGGGACAGUACGCUCUUGCGUUUUGUUGUGCUUCUUCGUUCGUGGUUGUCCUUCCAAAAGGCGCCGCGACGGUUGUACGGCCGUAGGGGUUGUCUCUUCCGUUAUUUUUCGGAGCUCUGUGGCGGCCUUUACUGCGUCGCUGCGGGGAUUCGGAGAGUUUACUUUGAAGAGAAUGUAAUGCUCAAAAUAAUUUUUUUUUGAUACUGUACAUUUUAGCAUGGAAUAAUAAAAUAGGACAACUGUGUUCUCUUACCAGUUUUGUUCGGCGCUCGUUUCAAUUAGUCUGCUGCACCGCAGCAAUGCGUGUUUUUGCAGCGGACGGGCGGGCGUGUCUUUGGGCAAUUCAACGGGGGAGUUCUACAUUUUUGUAUCCGUUUUGUUGGUUCAUGGAGCAGUUGUAAUGAUUAAUAGGGACAGUUGGGGGCAUCUGUAUUGCAUUGUCAGAGGUGAAAUUCUUGGAUUUAUGCAAGACAAACUAGUGCGAAAGCAUUUGCCAAGGAUGUUUUCAUUAAUCAAGAACGAAAGUUAGGGGAUCGAAGGCGAUCAGAAACCGCCGUAGUCUUAACCAUAAACGAUACCAUCUCUGUUUCGGAAGGUUUUUGCCAAAUUCAUUAGGCCCUCUCGGCGCAGUUAGAGAAAUCAAAGUCUCUGGGUUCUGGGGGGAGUAUGGCUGCAAAGCUGAAACUUAAAGAAAUUGACGGAAGGGCACCACCAGGUGUGGAGCCUGCGGCUUAAUUUGACUCAACACGGGGAAACUUACCAGGUCCGGACACGGGAAGGAUUGACAGAUUGAUAGCUCUUUCUUGAUUCCGUGGGUGGUGGUGCAUGGUCGUUCUUAGUUGGUGGAGUGAUUUGUCUGGUUAAUUCCGAUAACGAACGAGACCUCAAUCUGCUAAAUAGGCGGUCAACGGGCUUUCCGCUCGAUGACUAUUAGCCUUCUUAGAGAGACUACCUUAGUUGCAUAAGGGGGAAGCAUGAGGCAAUAACAGGUCUGUGAUGCCCUUAGAUGACCUGGGCCGCACGCGCGCUACAAUGAUGCAGUCAACAAGUCUGUCCGAGCCCGAAAGGGUGAGGCAAUCUUCUCAAACUGCAUCGUGCUGGGGAUUGAUCUUUGUAAUUUUGGAUCAUCAACUAGGAAUACCUCGUAGGCGUUUAUCAUCAAUAAGCGUCGACUACGUCCCUGCCCUUUGUACACACCGCCCGUCGCUCCUACCGAUUGAAUGAUCAGACGAAAUGCUUGGAUUGUGCGUUUGUGGAUGUUUCGGCGUUUACGAAUGCGCGAGAAGAGUAGUAAAUCUUAUUAUUUAGA
rnacentral:rRNA from 1 species